UAAAAAAGAAAAAAAUAAAAAUAAAAUCAUCAGAUAUUCUAUCCCUCCUCCAAUCUCCAUUCCGUUAUCGGCACUGCACCCAGAGGGAGAGAAGAGCCCGACCUCCUCUUCUCUUCUUCCUCCUUCCUCGUUUGAUCUGUCACUCACCGGUCAUCGUGAGUGCGUCCGUGCCGUUCCUGGACGUUUGGGUCGCAAGGCUCUUCCUCUCUAUCCCCAUUUCUAGUUUCUACUGCGUCUGCCGAGAGAGAGGGGGCUCCGAUUGAUGUUUCUGUUCCCUCUUCUCGCGGGUGAGUGCUUUCACGAAGGAGCUGGAUUUGUCGUCAUCAAGGGUUGUCGAUCAGUUCGUGAGCUCUCUUUCCUUCUCCCCUGUUUUAUCCUGCCGAAAUCAUCUUCUCCCUGUUCGCCACUGCCGUUGAUGUACCAAACUUGUAUCUCAAGGUAUUAAUUGAGGAGUUCUAUUACUGAAUUGAAGUGGAAGAGUUACUUGAGACAAGUCUCAAUUCGAUGAGAAUUUGAACUUUGUAUUUUUGUCUAAGUGUGGCCCUAGGUGCUCCACAUAAAUUGUAGGUAGGAUCCUUGUUUUUCUUCUAAGAUUAUAUAUUUGACUUGAUAUUGUAAAUCGUUGUUGUAGAAAUUUCUAAAAGUCUUAUUUUUAGAAGAGGUUUUUUUAUUUUUCAAAAUUUCGUUAUAAGUUCGUGAUUUCUGGUUUAUAUGAAAAGUAUAAUAAGAAUUUCUAGUCAUCAUAUUAAGGCAUUUAAAGUACUAACUAAGGAGUUUCUCCUAUCAAGGCUUAAUAGAUGUGAGUUUUGUGCCUAUAUUUUGUGUACGUCACACCUGAAUUUUGGGGUAUAACAGAAUAUAACCUCUUUAUGAAAUUAUGAAACGAAUCUUAACUUUAAAAAUUUUCAAAAAUUUAGUCCAAUAUAAUAGACCUGCGUAUCUUUUUUUGGGAUUUCAUUUUCAUUGCUUCUUGUUCCUCAGCUUUAAAAUUCUCUAAUUCUUGAGUUGUUUUCACCUCUUUCAAGUUUAUUUCUUCUCUUGCUACUCUUGUGAUUGUACAUCUUGUUUCGCACUAUUUUCUGCAAUGAGAAAGUCGGAUCAGGUGGAAAUUCCCAUGGAAGCUAAUAAUUUAACCACGAAGGGACCGUGCUAUAGCAGAUUGCAGGAACUGUUGAAGAAGCAGUUCGUUUCAUCAAUUCUUUUUCUGGUUACUCUGCAUUUUUCUUAGAUUUAAAAGGGCAUUUUUAUCUCACUUUUUUUAGGUGCAAUGAUAAUUGUAAUAUCAAAGGUGGCGCAAUGUCACACUUUAAGUAUUAAAAAAAUUGCAAUAAUAUUGCCUGCCCUCCA